rnacentral:rRNA from 1 species
UACGGAGGUGGCGAGCGUUGUCCGGAAUCAUUGGGCGUAAAGGGCGCGUAGGUGGCCCGGUCAGUUCGUGGUGAAAGCGCGGGGCUCAACCCUGCGUCGGCCAUGAAUACUGCCGGCGGCUGGAGCACUGUAGGAGGCAAGCGGAAUUCCGGGUGUAGCGGUGGAAAUGCGUAGAGAUCCGGAAGAAGACCGGUGCGCAAGGGCGG